rnacentral:lncRNA from 10 species
GACGAUGGGGUUUUCUAGAUAUUAGAUCAUGUUGUCUGCAAACAGAGACUGUUUGACUUCCUCGCUUCCUAUUUGGAUGCCCUUUAUUUCUUUCUCUUCUUAAUUGCCCUUGCCAGGUCUUCCAGCACUAUGAUGAAUAGGUGUGGUGAGCGGGGGCAUCCUUGUCUUGUGCCAGUUUUGAAGGAGAAUGCUUCCAGCUUUUGCCCAUUCAGUAUGAUGCCAGUUGUGGAUUUGUCUUAUACGGUUCUUACUAUUUUGAGGCAGUGUUGGUCUGCAAGCUUCAAGAGCCAGUGACCCUGACUGCCAAGUGAUUUGCCGAAGGGAAUUAUGGUUUUGCAUUUGAUGGUUUCCAGGAACUGCUAAGAGUGAGAUCAUCCCUGAAGCAGUGACUGCCAGAGGAAGGCGAGAGACAUAUGGUGGCCUUACAGCCAUGUGAAGUGCCUCACUCCCUGUUCACCUUCCACCAUGAUUUUAAGUUCUGUGAGGCCUCCCUAGAAGCUGAUGCCACCAUGUUUCCUGUACAACCUGCAGAAUGGUGCUUCAUGGAGAGAGUUUGUCGCUUUUUUGUCCUUUUGCCUUCUGCCACAUAAGGACACGGAAUUCCUCUCCAGAAGUAGCAGUUAAGAGGCCUUCUUGGAAGCAGAGACCAACUGCUUAGAAACAGAGACCUCACCAGACAACAAACCUGCCAGCACCUGUGCCUUGAUCUCAAACUUUGCAGCCCCAGAACGAUUAUUUCUGUCUGGUGAAACUAAUCAUUCCAGAGUUCUUCAGCUUUUGGACUCUUGGACUUACAACAGUGGUUUGCAAG